AAACACUUCAUGGCUCUUUCUUGGAAAGAAGCAACGGUUCGUCAGUCUGUUACGGCAUUUCUUAAGGCCUUCAUUUCUGCUGGUAGUUUAACGAAGUUGAUUCGUGACCGGGAAUUGAUUAAGACGCUUGUGAGUUGGUUAUCUUGCUUAAGUAAGUUAAGUUGCAGGUUUGGGGAAUGAGGAUUGUCCCUUGGAGAAAUAAACCGUUAGGAUACAGAAGUCUUGAUAAGAACUUCUAAUAAAGUUUAAAGAAUAUUUGGUUUUAUGAGGCGAUUUUGUUCUCAAGUUGUAAUAAGUUGAUUUAAUUUUUCGUUCUUAUCCGCUGCUAAGAAUUUCUUAUAUCUAGUAGUUCAUAAUAACACUAAUAAAACUCGAUCCGCAAGC